GGAUGCGAUCAUACCAGCACUAAAGCACCGGAUCCCAUCAGAACUCCGAAGUUAAGCGUGCUUGGGCGAGAGUAGUACUAGGAUGGGUGACCUCCUGGGUGACCUCUUGGGCGAGAGUA
rnacentral:rRNA from 1 species